CAUGCAGUGGAUAUUAGAGCCACAAUCAUAAAUAUAGAGUGGAGACUGCAUCAUUUCAGUCUAUCCUGAAAUAACAAAGGGCCAGCAUAUACUACUGCAGUGGAUAUUAGAGCAACAAUCAGAAAUAUAGAGAGUGGAGACUGCAUCAUCUUUAUCCUGAAAUGACAAAAGUGCAAGUAUCUUUACUAUUGUACCAGUGACACAAUAUGUAUAUGUCAAUGAUACUGUGACAUUUGAAUGUGCUGCCAGCUAUAAUGGCCUUUACUUUAAAGCAGGAGGAGUUGUAGUUUCAGGUGUUAUGAUAUCCAGUUUACCAAAUGGUGGACAAAUGAUAUCAUUUAAUCAAGUGGCAACUUAUCAACUAAAUGGGACUAAUGUUACCUGCCAUGCAACCAAUGGAAAUAAGACCAAGGCUGCCUACAUUUAUGUACAAGGUCCACCUGAUAGUGUCAGUAAUUUAACAGGAUAUCAGUUAGAUUCUUGUUGUAUGUUUAUCAGUGNGUAUCCUCCAUUCACAC